rnacentral:rRNA from 1 species
AUUGAACGCUAGCGGGAUGCCUUACACAUGCAAGUAGAACGGAGUGGCGAACGGGUGAGUAAUGUAUCGGAACGUGCCCCGUAGCGGGGGAUAACUACGCGAAAGCGUAGCUAAUACCGCAAACUAUUGCAGCGGCCGAUAGCGGAUUAGCUAGUUGGGGGGGUAACGGCUCACAAAGGCGACGAUCCGUAGCGGGUGUGAGAGGACGACCAGCCACACUGGGUGUUAGACACGGCCCAGACGCCUACGGGAGGCAGCAGUGGGGAAUUUUUGACAAUGGGGGAAACCCUGAUCCAGCCAUCCCGGGUGUGCGAUGAAGGCCUUCGGGUUGUAAAGCACUUUUGGCAGGAAAGCGGUACCUGCAGAAUAAGCACCGGCUAACUACGUGCCAGCAGCCGCGGUAAUAC